AUGGACUUCAUGUCCAUUCCGGUUCCUGCGCGCUGGCCUUCCCGCGCUGACGGCCGCUCGCCGAUCUUGCUGAUCGCU
rnacentral:sRNA from 1 species